GCAAUUUCUUCUUUACUGCCUGUCUGAAGACUGACUUCCUCCUGCUGCCAAAGAUCCUCUAAACUAACUACAAGCUCCUCCACAUUAUCAGGACAAACACAAUUCUAACUCUCAAAAGUUCUAGAGUCUGGACGUCUGAGAUCAGGGUGCCAGCACUGUCGAGGUCACAGACUGCAGACCUCCUUGUAUCUUCAAAUGGAGGAAAGAGGACAAGAGAGCUCCUGUGGUCACUUUUAUCAAGGCAUUUGCAAUGAUACAUCCUAGUGAUGGCAGCAACCGCCCGUCUGGAGCCGCGGUUGGGAAGACGUCGUCUGCAGCAAGGGAGGCGUGGCGGGGCUGUGCCUCUGUGAAGCUGGUGAGGCCGGGAACAGACAGGCCCCCCGCCCCUAUCAAGUCGCGGGGCAAGAGCCCCUCACUCCAGAUGCAACUGCAAGGGUGACUCCAGACCUAUACGCCCUAUGGCACUGUAGGCUCGGAA
rnacentral:lncRNA from 1 species